CUCUUUAGCUUGGCAUUUGAAUCGGCUUUGCUGUUGCGAAGUAGAGUGGCGGCUUCGGCUGCCGAGGGUCGAUCCAUUUGGGAAAUGUUGUGUACUUCGGUAUGCAUCUCAAUUGGACCUGAUAUCAGGCAAGAUUACCCGCUGAACUUAAGCAUAUUAAUAAGCGGAGGAAAAGAAACUAACAAGGAUUCCCCUAGUAACGGCGAGUGAAGCGGGAAGAGCUCAAGCUUAAAAUCUCCGUGCAAGUUUUGCGCGGCGAAUUGUAGUCUAUAGAGGCGUGAUCAGUGUGGGCGCUUGGGGCAAGUUCCUUGGAAGAGGACAGCAUGGAGGGUGAUACUCCCGUUCAUCCCUGAGUUGCUCGUGCGUACGAUCCGUUUUCUUUGAGUCGCGUUGUUUGGGAAUGCAGCGCAAAGUAGGUGGUAAAUUCCAUCUAAAGCUAAAUAUUGGUGCGAGACCGAUAGCGAACAAGUACCGUGAGGGAAAGAUGAAAAAGAACUUUGAAAAGAGAGUUAAAGAGUACCUGAAACUGCUGAAAGGGAACCGAAUCGUUUCCAGUGUCUAUAAUCCGUGGUAUAUUUCAUUGGCGAGUGUGUGCGUGCGUGUGCUGUGGCAGCGGCUUUUUUGGCUGCGCUCGGCGUGUGUGCUGUGUGUGCUUGCUGGUGCCCUGUGCUGCGGUGGGACGUCAAGGUCAGUUCGUAUGCUGCGGGAAAUGGCCGCCGAGGAGGUAGGGCUUACGCUUGCGUUUGUCUGUUAUAUCUUGGUGGACGAGUAGUCGCGGUUGGGACUGAGGUGCCUACAACGUGUUUUUGAGUGGGCCUGUGUCUCUGUGUGCGCCGUGUGCGGAUAGCUUGCUAUGCGUGUGUGGUUGUGUGUGGAUUGAUGUGGGUUUUAACUUGUUGCCGUUCGGGACGUUGACGAAAUGGAGCGAUUUGACCCGUCUUGAAACACGGACCAAGGAGUCUAACAUGUGUGCAAGUGUUAGGGUGUGGAAACCCCAGCGCGAAAUGAAAGUGAAGGGCAGCGUAAGUUGUCUGAGGUAGGAAAUGCUGCGGGCUUCGGUCUGCGGUGUGGCACUAUCGACCGAUCAUGAACCUUCGUGGUGAAAGAUUUGAGUUUGAGCACAUAUGUUGGUACCCGAAAGAUGGUGAACUAUGCCUGAGUAGGGUGAAGCCAGGGGAAACUCUGGUGGAAGCUCGUAGCGAUUCUGACGUGCAAAUCGAUCGUCAAACUUGGGUAUAGGGGUGAAAGACUAAUCGAACCAUCUAGUAGCUGGUUCCCUCCGAAAUUCCCUCAGGAUAGCAGCAACUUAUUUCGAUAGUUUUAUGAGGUAAAGCGAAUGAUUAGAGGAUUCGGGGAAGAAAAUUCCUCGACCUAUUCUCAAACUUUAUAUCUGUAAGACCUGCAGGUUUCUUAAUUGAACUUGUGGAUGUGAACAUCAAGUUGCUAGUGGGCCAUACGGGGUAAGCUCGUCUGGCGAUGCGGGAUGAACCGAGCGCAAGUUAAAGUGCCAAAAUGCUCGCUCACCUAGAUACCAUAAAAGGUGUUGGUUCAUUUAGACAGCAGGACGGUGGCCAUGGAAGUCGGAAUCCGCUAAGGAGUGUGUAACAGCUCACCUGCCGAACGAACUAGCCCUGAAAAUGGAUGGCGCUAAAGCGGGCUACUUGUACUUUGCCGUUAGCUCGAUAGCAUUUAUAAUGUACGCGUUUAAUGAGUAGGGAGGGCGUGAAGGUCGUGAAGAAGCUCGUGGCGUGAGCUCUGAGUGAAACGGCCCUUUAGUGCAGAUCUUGGUGGUAGUAGCAAAUAUUCAAUUGCGAACUUUGAAGACUGAAGUGGAGAAAGGGUCCGUAUGAUCAGUAAUUGGACACGGGUGAGUCGAUCCUAAGAGAUAGGAUAAUUCCGUUUGAAAGCUGGGCCUGGUUGAGGCUGUGGGGUUCGUCCUUGCGUUUUGUAUGCAGCCUCUUGUAUCGGAAAGGGAAUCAGG